rnacentral:miRNA from 1 species
GUGUGGGUGCGGGCAUGUGAGUGUGUGUCGCUCGGGUCCACGCUCGUGCACACACCCGCACGUCCGC